UCUGAGAAUUGAGAAUAUUAAGAUCAAAAUGCAUAUCUAAAUUGGAUCUGAAUUGAGUUAUAAUGACCGGAAAUCAAGGUUUUCAAGAAUCGACAACCAAACCUUGCUUAAUCACACGACUAAGCACAUCAUCUGAAGAUCACCAUUAUAGCACAUCAUCUGAAGAUCACCAUUAUCUUAAAAACCCCUUUGAUUUCAUUCAAAAUGGUGCCAAAAAUCUCCUAAAAUCAAUAGAUUGGCG
rnacentral:lncRNA from 1 species